CACACGGGCAGACACUUGGAGCACGAAACCCGCAACACAAGAAGUAAAGAAGGAAAAAAAAAGGAGAGUUUGCCGUGAAUCUCUCGAUCCUGCCGUGCACGGUGGUGGUGUAUUAUCUCUUUCGUGACAUCUUUUGAGAUUCUAUUCUUGAUGUGUUUCUUCUCCACCCCCCCCCCCCCCCCAACGGUCUAUUCUCUUCCAGUCCGGAGACAUCAGAGCUCAUUUGAAUCUUCUUUUAGCAAUGAGCGUUUCCGUCACUAUUUUGCCUACGCAUGAGGAGCGUGAAAGGCGUCACAAGGAGACGCCAGAGAUAAAUAAUGUCUCCAGCGUGCAGCCUCUGUCCAUCAGUGUCACAGUCUCAACAAAAUCGGAGGAAAGAAAGAAAUACCUUGGGAUCCAGGUGGUUGCCAUCGCGGUAGGAGAACCACAGGAGAGUGUCGUUGCUAUACGACAGGGUGU